rnacentral:misc_RNA from 1 species
GUACCCUCAAGCUCUGCUUGGUGUUGGGUGUUUGUCCCGCUUUUGCGUGUGGACUCGCCUUAAAGCAAUUGGCAGCCGGCAUAUUGGCCUGGAGCGCAGCACAUUUUGCACUUCUUGCCUUUAGAUGUCGAGCAUCCAGAUAGCAAACUUUUUGCU